UGGGGGUAAGCGAUGAAAAUGAGGGUGGAUGUAUCACCAAUUUUCUCAUAUAAAAAUCCCACAAAUAUCCGUUCUGAGCAAAAGCAGCAGCCGUUCACUGACUGUUUCCUGCCUUAAAAAAAGAGAGCCUUGAAGAUGGCAUCUGUUCACUCAGGAUUAUCUUCUGUGGUGAAGAGCAACCUUGCUGUCUCAAAAUUGCCAAAUUCUGCUUUUUUGCCUGGCUUUGAAAAUAGACGUGCCUUGAAUGUUUUGGUCAAGGAGGCCUACUUCAGUGCGAGGAAUUCUAGGUCUACAGCGACAUUAACCUUUGAUCCCUUGGCCAAUUUAGCAAAAUCCAAGCAAAGGAAACAUACUGUUGAUCCUGCAGCUCCAGAUUUUCUUCCCCUUCCUGCUUUUGAAGAAUGCUUCCCCAAGAGUACCAAGGAGUACAGGGAUGCCAUUCAUGAGCAUUCAGGCCAUGUGCUUAAGGUUCCAUUUCGCAGGAUCCAUCUGUCUGGGGAGGAGCAAUACUUUGACACGUAUGAUACUAGUGGCCCGCAAAAUGUCAGCCCACGUGUGGGUCUUCCCAAGAUAAGGAAAGACUGGAUUGCCAGACGCGAGCAGUCGGGUGCACCCAGGUACACUCAAAUGUACUAUGCAAAGCAAGGAAUUAUAACUGAAGAAAUGUUGUUCUGUGCUGUUCGUGAGAAGCUUGAGCCAGAGUUUGUGAGGUCAGAGGUCGCCCGUGGACGAGCAAUUAUCCCUUCCAACAAAAAGCACUUGGAAUUAGAACCAAUGCUGGUUGGGAGAAACUUCCUUGUCAAAGUUAAUGCAAAUAUUGGAAAUUCAGCUGUUGUGAGCUCUAUAGAGGAAGAGGUGCAUAAGCUUCAGUGGGCAACAAUGUGGGGUGCAGAUACUGUCAUGGAUCUUUCAACAGGGCGCCAUAUCCAUGAAACGCGUGAAUGGAUCCUUCGUAACUCAUCUGUACCAGUAGGGACUGUACCAAUCUACCAAGCUUUGGAGAAAGUGAAUGGCAUUGCUGAGGACCUAAACUGGGAGGUCUUCAGAGAUACUCUAAUCGAACAAGCUGAGCAGGGUGUGGAUUAUUUUACUAUUCAUGCUGGUGUCCUUCUUCGAUACAUUCCUCUUACAGCUAAAAGAAUGACUGGAAUUGUCUCACGUGGAGGAUCUAUUCAUGCAAAAUGGUGCCUAGCUUAUCACAAGGAAAAUUUUGCGUAUGAGCACUGGGAUGAGAUCCUUGACAUAUGCAACCAGUAUGAUGUGGCACUAUCCAUUGGCGAUGGAUUGAGACCAGGUUCAAUUUAUGAUGCCAAUGACACUGCUCAGUUUGCAGAACUUUUGACACAGGGAGAACUGACCCGCCGAGCUUGGGAAAAGGACGUCCAGGUAAUGAAUGAAGGACCAGGACAUAUUCCUAUGCACAAAAUUCCAGAAAAUAUGGAGAAACAGUUGGAAUGGUGCAAUGAGGCACCUUUUUACACACUGGGUCCUCUGACAACUGAUAUUGCCCCUGGCUAUGAUCAUAUCACCUCUGCCAUAGGUGCUGCUAACAUUGGAGCCCUUGGUACUGCUCUCCUUUGUUAUGUGACACCUAAGGAACACCUUGGAUUGCCCAAUCGUGAUGAUGUGAAGGCAGGUGUCAUAUCUUAUAAGAUAGCUGCCCAUGCAGCUGAUUUAGCAAAGGGCCAUCCUCAUGCACAAGCCUGGGACGAUGCCUUGAGCAAGGCCAGAUUUGAAUUUCGAUGGAUGGAUCAGUUUGCUCUAUCACUGGAUCCUAUGACAGCGAUGUCUUUCCAUGAUGAGACCUUACCAUCUGAUGGUGCUAAAGUUGCACAUUUCUGUUCUAUGUGUGGACCCAAGUUCUGUUCGAUGAAAAUAACAGAAGAUGUGAGGAAGUACGCGGAGGAGCAUGGAUAUGGAACAGCAGAGGAAGCUGUGCAGCACGGAAUGGAUGCUAUGAGUGCUGAGUUUUUGGCAGCCAAGAAAACGGUCAGUGGGGAGCAACAUGGAGAAGUUGGAGGAGAAAUAUAUGUACCUGAAAACUACAUUGUGCGCCCUUGAAGGAACAAUCUAUUUCUCCAAUCUUUUGGCAGAGAAGCCGAUUUGAGCUAGAAGCUUGAGUGUAGUCUGGGUCCAUCAGUUGUCCAAUGCUCCUUAUUGUCAGUAGGUAAGGGGUGCCAGUGUCUGUUAGUCUUGGCCACUUGGCCAGGAAAUGGCAGAUAUGGCUGAGAAAGUCCCUUUGAACCUGAACAGGUUAAUGCCUGCGUAGGGAGCGUGCAAUAGCACCUUUUUUUUUUCUUUCUUGUUCAGGGAUUCAUCAAAAAGUUCGGACUAGCUGAUUCUGAGCUGCUCUGCCAUGGUGUUGCUGUUGUUUGAGAAGCUGUGACGGUUGGCAGGUCACCAGUCACCUGAAUGCUUUCAUCUGAUCUGCUUUAUUUAUUGGGUAAAUUUCACAAAACUACCAUGAACUUCGGAUGGUUUUGUACAAAACUACCACAAGCUUUCUUAUCGAGAAAAAUACAUGAACUUUCAAAAGUGGAGAAAAUAGCAUGAAGUAUUGAAACUUGUAGCUAAUGCUUUUAAUGGCUUGGAUGAAGAUCUAACUACCCUUGAAUAUAGGAGCGGGGGACAGGGUAAUAUACAAGAUAAUAUAUCAGACAAGGUUAACAUCGUCUUAAAUAUGUCAUGUGCAAAUCACAUGACAAACUUACCCUAAUUGACGUAAGCAUGAUUGCGUAUUAAAAAAAAAGUGAAUGAUGAUUUACUUUAAUAAAAAAAUUAUAGUAGUUAAACCAUCCAAGUUCAAUGGUAGUUUCGUGUAAUUUCCUCAAAUGUUUAUUUUUUCUGCAUUUAUUUGUUUCCGUGCAUGCAGGUUUGUGUACAGGUGUGAGAAUGCUUGCGUGUUUGCAUGCGUGCUCAUUUUUAUAUGUUCACUUGUGCAUGAGUGUUUUCCGUGGGCUUAGGUGUGGAGAUUGGAGAGAUAACCUUAGGUUCGAGGCAAAAUACACAAAGCAAAUGAUUUAAACCUUCUAAGAAGUAGGAUAGUGAGUUAUAAGUAGCCUCUAUUUCGAAUGGGCUAACAAUGUCCAGUUUGUCAUUAUUAAUCCACCUUGCAACUUCUUUCUUCAAUGGCUUGCGAGGUUUAUAUCUAUAGCUAAACGUUGGGACGUUCUUUCCAGCUGAGUAUCAAUCUCUGUGUACAAAAUACCUUUCGGUAUGUGGUAUUCUCAAUAUUGGUUUCUGCCAUCUCUAAUUUUUCAGGUGCAUUUUGUUAGGAAGGGAUAAAAAGCUACCUUCCUGUUCUCACCGGCAGCAAUCUAUCGCAACUGAAAUGUCACCAGUAGUGUAAUUCCACAGUAAUAAGCCGCCUUGGUAAAUCUUACUGGUUAAGCUAGUUUAUGCAUCACCGUGGCUUAAGCAUAGGAAUGUAGGUUGCCAUUUGCCAAUACUUUGAAGGCAAAAUAUGGAUGUAGUUGGUUAACCAUGUCAUGCAUUUUCACUGUAGUUAACAACCUUGGUGAAAAUUUACACGUGAUACUUUAAAUGAGCAAUGUUCGAAGACCUCCAUGUCCCACGCUCAAAGAAGAAACUCACCCACCUUUUCACAACAGCCAGGUUAAAUAUGAUGGUGUUUUUUUUUUGCAAAUUAAUGGAAUCAGCGCGAUGAGUAUUGAGCUUCUUUUGUUGAUGUGAGAAGUUGGGGGUCUUGAAGCGUUUGUCCUGUUUUUCCUUAUGCUUUCUGCUUGCAAGUUCCGAUUCCCCUAACAUAAAUACAGUAGAUAUUUGCUUAUUUAUUGUGACAUAAACUCAAACUAUUGAAUUUCGAUUAUCAAUGGAAAUGAGAACCGGGAAGGGAGACUGUAGUGAGUUUGAGCAACCAAAAAGGAAUCCUCGUAUGAUAUUUUGGAAGCAGGAGGAAGGAUGGUAGACUGCUGAUUUGAAUGGCAUUCUAACCCCUAGUAAAACAAAUAAAUCCAACUGAGUCCAACCGAACACAUUAUCAUAAUCCUAUCACUCCUAAUUAGGAGGGCCGUUCGACCUUGUGUUUGUGCCUAAUUCUUGCAGCAAGCGCAGUCUAGAGUCUUGACUAUUAAACGAAAUAUUUUCGAUUGAUGAAGAAAGGUCUGUAAGCCAGAGAGGCGCAAUGCUCUCAUUAGACUCGUUUAACAUCCUCUGUACUUACAGGGGUUUUGAUAGUUAAUUUCCUAAAAAUAUUGGUAAAUUUAUAUGGUAGUCUUAUAUUAUAUCAAAGGUUUCGCAACAUGAAAAUUCUUCCCGAGCAUGGUUCUCAACCGCUACCCACAAACAAGCAACGUGUUUUGCCUUGGAAGAAAAGAACCGGAAUAAAGGGCACUCUUAACAUCACAGAUCAAGAAAGUUGGCUGCUUGGAUUUAUGUAUUUAUGUUGUACUGGUUUGUGUAAUGAAUUACUGGAUCUUGAUGUUUGUUUACAACGUAAUGUAACCAAAUAAGAAAUUUGUUUUCUUGUUCAA